UACGGAGGGUGCGAGCGUUAAUCGGAAUUACUGGGCGUAAAGAGUGCGUAGGUGGUUAAUUAAGUUAUCUGUGAAAUCCCUGGGCUUAACCUGGGCAGGUCAGAUGAUACUGAUUGACUCGAGUAUGGGAGAGGGUAGUGGAAUUUCCGGUGUAGCGGUGAAAUGCGUAGAGAUCGGAAGGAACACCAGUGGCGAAGGCGGCUACCUGGC
rnacentral:rRNA from 1 species